ensembl:snRNA U6 U6 spliceosomal RNA
GUGCUUUCUUUGGCAGCACAUAUACUAAAAUUGGAAUGAUGCAGUGAAGAUUAGCAUGGCCCCUGAGUAAGGAUGACAUACAAAUUUGUGAAGUGUUACAUUAAAAU